UCUGAAUGUUUGUUGAAGCGUUUUUAGUAAUCAUUGUAGAAAAUGCAUCUGUUUUAUAGGAUUCAGGUAUUCCUAUAAUUCUUAAAGUGUUUCUACGUUUUCUGUUCUAUGUCAUCUAAUUUGGAUUGUAAUCAUCAAGUCUUGUACAGAUGGAAAUUGAAUCAUCCUGGAUCUCUGAUACUACUUCCUGAAGUCUUUUAAUGUCUUGAGAUUGAGAAGUAAAUUUUCCAGAUAACCCAGUAAUGCUAUCUUGUAAUUUCUCUACUGUUUUCCUAAAGUAGAUUGUAGAGUUACUGUAGUUCUAUCAUAGGAUUAAGGAGUUUAGCAACUGCAAUUGCCAAGGUAGAGUAAUCGUUUGUAGACAAAGUUUUUUGUUGUGCAGUGUUAUGAGCUUGGUUCCAUUAUCACCUUCAGAAUGCUUAGGACUUUUAUUUUUAUUCCUUUCAUAUGUCUUUCCAUUUAUUUUAACUUGGAAAUGUAAGAAGGAGGAGUUGUGACUCUCCAUAGUAGAAGUAAAAAUGCCUUGAAGAUUAUAUAACUUGUAAAGUGGUGUCAGAUGUUUUUUAUAAUGAAAUAUCCUUCUUUACAGACUUGAUAGCUCUCACCUUAAUAUUUAAAUAGUCUUUUGAUGGUUGAGCUAUUACCAGAAUCUAGUUAUUAUCAAAGGAAUUAUCAAUUGUGUCUGCUGAAUGUUAAUUUAAUCGUCAUUAGGAUUUCAAGAUUCAAUUAGUUUAGAAUAUGUAUGUGUAUGACAUAACCAAACAUACCAGCAUCACAUUUUCCUGCAUGUAAAACAUUCACUCAGAAAUAUAUCAGGCUGUCAGAAUCAUGUUAGAAUCAGAAAUUCUUCCUUAUUAUGCACAGAUGGACUUGUUAAAUAUGAGUUAAUGAGAAAUCCUAGAAAGUAUGAGACUGUUCAGGAGUAGCUUCUAAAGUUACCAAUUCCCUGUGUGUCAUGAAGAACUUUGCUCUCUCCCAGUCACUGUUCUAUCAGACAGAAUUAAAUCAUGCAGUGUAAAACAAGUCAAAGUGUCUAGCAAAGAAAUUUUGGGUGACUAAAAUAACAGUUUGUCUCACCCCACUCCAAAAAAUAUAUAUUGCUUCAAACAAAAAGGUAUUUUAUGACAAAUAUGGCAUCAAAUUCUGCAGGUUAGCACAGUCUCUCUAAUAUAUAAUUAGAAGCAUAAUAGGUCAUUUACCUCACAGUUGUGCAAACAAUCUUGCACUUAUGGGAUAAUAUUAUCCUUUAUGACUGAAAAUAUAUCCAAGGUUUUUUGUUGAAGUGCAAUCCUUCAAUGUUAGGUGAGAUAACCUGGCUGAUGAGUCUUAAGCGCACUGCUGUUUUUCAACAUUAAAUAUACUGUGCAUGUAAAUAAAGUCCACAAAUAAGCAAAAUACUUUUUUUGAGGGAAUUAUUCAAAAAUAUAAUCGUACCUCUCCUUUGAUUUUGUUUCUUUAUUUUUAUUUUGCAGCAGGUCAGCCUACAUUUACCUCACGGACUGCAAUGACCGCAAUGACCGCCGUUGCUCAAAACCAACCCUCCUCAGAAGAAAUGUCGUCCAGCUCAGGACUCCGCAGAAGGACAGAACUUCAGUGUAUCUCAGGAAGAGAAGGAUGUCAUCUGUGUCACAAAGGUGUCAUUAUUCAGUUACAUUGAUAUAUAGCUGCGAUUCCAGAUGGCUUGAACUGGGUUUAAUUUUGAGGAAUCCUACUUGGUGUGUGGUGUGUCUAAAAUCUCCCUAUCCUGAACUGAAAGUUUAGGUAAAUGGGCAUCUUGUAAGAAGAGGAAAGUUUCGCCUGGGUGAUCCUGAUUUUGCUCGUAGAAUUUUUUGAAAUAUGUUUCUAAUUCUUUUACUAUCUUGUGUCCAUCCAUCAUUUGUUUUUAAUUUCUUUAUGAAAUAUGUUGUUUGGAGUUUUAUUUUGGCGAAUAAUUUCCCUGGUUUGUUUCCCCAUCUGUAAUAUUUAUUUUUCAUGUGGGAUAUCUUGUAUUGUGCACUAUCAUGUAAUAAAGUAUUGAACAGCU